rnacentral:rRNA from 1 species
ACUGAACGCUGGCGGCAGGCCUAACACAUGCAAGUCGAGCGGUAGCACAGAGGAGCUUGCUCCUUGGGUGACGAGCGGCGGACGGGUGAGUAACGUCUGGGAAACUGCCUGAUGGAGGGGGAUAACUACUGGAAACGGUAGCUAAUACCGCAUAACGUCUUCGGACCAAAGCGGGGGACUUUCGGGCCUCGCGCCAUCAGAUGUGCCCAGAUGGGAUUAGCUGGUAGGUGAGGUAAUGGCUCACCUAGGCGACGAUCCCUAGCUGGUCUGAGAGGAUGACCAGCCACACUGGAACUGAGACACGGUCCAGGCUCCUACGGGAGGCAGCAGUGGGGAAUAUUGCACAAUGGGCGCAAGCCUGAUGCAGCCAUGCCGCGUGUGUGAAGAAGGCCUUCGGGUUGUAAAGCACUUUCAGCGGGGAGGAAGGCGGUGAGAUUAAUACUCUCAUCGAUUGACGUUACCCGCAGAAGAAGCACCGGCUAACUCCGUGCCAGCCGCCGCAGUAAUAC